rnacentral:rRNA from 1 species
GACGAACGCUGGCGGCGUGCUUAACACAUGCAAGUCGAACGGAAAGGCCCUGCUUUUGUGGGGUGCUCGAGUGGCGAACGGGUGAGUAACACGUGAGUAACCUGCCCUUGACUUUGGGAUAACUUCAGGAAACUGGGGCUAAUACCGGAUAGGAGCUCCUGCUGCAUGGUGGGGGUUGGAAAGUUUCGGCGGUUGGGGAUGGACUCGCGGCUUAUCAGCUUGUUGGCGGGGUAGUGGCUUACCAAGGCUUUGACGGGUAGCCGGCCUGAGAGGGUGACCGGCCACAUUGGGACUGGGAUACGGCCCAGACUCCUACGGGAGGCAGCAGUGGGGAAUAUUGCACAAUGGGCGGAAGCCUGAUGCAGCAACGCCGCGUGCGGGAUGACGGCCUUCGGGUUGUAAACCGCUUUCGCCUGUGACGAAGCGUGAGUGACGGUAAUGGGUAAAGAAGCACCGGCUAACUACGUG